rnacentral:lncRNA from 1 species
CGGGAGCGCGCACACACCGGCGGCUUCGCGCUCCCAGCCGGUGCCGAGCGCCGGACUGAGGGGAGCGCUAGACCCGGGUAGCGUCCGGCUGGGGAACACUGGGCCGAGGCUCACUCGCCAUAUGAAUACAGGCAACCGCCGCUUUGAACAAUGAAAUCUCGGUGGUCUUGUCCUCGGUCGACCACCUCUUGGAAGUUCGCUGAAUUCUAGAAGUCUGAGGAGUUCUGUACCACAGAAGGACGGACGGCCUCCACCGUGGGAAUUACGGUCAUUUAAGCAAAACGUAAGUGAAGAGUCUAACCCCCAGGAGGACUUCAUAAGAGCAGUAUCGCCACCUGUGUCUUGGUACCAGCAUAUCCAGCUGGACUACACACAUUACAGAAUAUCCUCUGAUUCAACAGAAAUCUGGAAGAGUUUACAGUCUG